GUUGAAUAAUGUGAAGCAACAGCAAUUACAGUCCAGCAGUGUCUUUUUAUGCUUUAUCCUUUUUUUUUUUCUUUCUCUCUUUUGCAUGUAACCGGGAUGAGUUCAGGAGGGAAGGGGAGGGUGUGGUCGAGAACCUGAAACAAACAGAGCUGUGAAGUUUGGCAGAUCAAACAGAGGCAUGAAGAUGGAAAGAACAAUGCACAGAAAAAAGAGAAGAACAUAUUCAGAAAUACAAUGAUUUCCACGAUUAAAGGUUGAUGCUGGAAUCUAACAUCAGUUAAUACAGUAUUCAUAUAAACCCUCGAGAUUUGACUUAUCUUUUAUUGCUGUCAUAUGACUUUUUUUUUUUUUUUUACCAAGUCUGCUAUUGUUACUGCUCAAACCAUAACAUGAUUAAAAUAAUCAUGCACAGAAAGAAACAGAGAAGAACAUUUUCAGAAAUACACUAAUUUUCCAGAAAAAAACAAAGAAAAAAAAU
ensembl:lncRNA